rnacentral:rRNA from 1 species
UACGGAGGAUCCAAGCGUUUAUCCGGAAUCAUUGGGUUUAAAGGGUCCGUAGGCGGUUUGGUAAGUCAGUGGUGAAAGCCCAUCGCUCAACGGUGGAACGGCCAUUGAUACUGCCAGACUUGAAUUAUUAGGAGGCAACUAGAAUAUGUAGUGUAGCGGUGAAAUGCUUAGAGAUUACAUGGAAUACCAAUUGCGAAGGCAGGUUGCUACUAAUGGAUUGACGCUGAUGGACGAAAGCGUGGGUAGCGAACAGG